rnacentral:rRNA from 1 species
GACGAACGCUGGCGGCGUGCUUAACACAUGCAAGUCGAACGGACAGACAGAGAGCUUGCUCUCUUGAAGUUAGUGGCGAACGGGUGAGUAACGCGUAAUCAACCUGCCCUUCAGAGGGGGAUAACAACGGGAAACCGUUGCUAAUACCGCGUACGAUUCAUGAACGGCAUCGUUUAUGAAUGAAAGGUGGCCUCUAUGUAUAAGCUAUCGCUGAAGGAGGGGAUUGCGUCUGAUUAGCUAGUUGGAGGGGUAACGGCCCACCAAGGCAAUGAUCAGUCGCCGAUCUGAGAGGAUGAACGGCCACAUUGGGACUGAGACACGGCCCAAACUCCUACGGGAGGCAGCAGUGGGGAAUCUUCCGCAAUGGACGAAAGUCUGACGGAGCAACGCCGCGUGAGUGAUGAAGGUCUUCGGAUUGUAAAGCUCUGUUAAUCGGGACGAAAGAGUUCUGCGUGAAUAAUGCAGAAAAGUGACGGUACCGGAAUAGAAAGCCACGGCUAACUACGUGCCAGCAGCCGCGGUAA